UGCUUGAUCAAGUGCCGGCCGACCUGGCCAGAAGAUAUUGAUGGGAAAUGUCAGGUCAGCGCAGAGAAUCUAACCUCUGGCCGGUGGCGGGAAUGAGAGCACCUGUUGUCCGCGGGAUGGUCGCAGGCGGGCACAUAAUGCCGCCGGUGGAGAUGAGUGGCACCUCCGGCAAACAGCGGCAUCUGCCGCGACUGCUAGUGGCACCUAGCUGCAGCAUCUGGGGGUGCCACCAGAGAUGCCACAGCUGGGUGCCCCUGCCACAAACUGAGCUUGCUGUCUCUCUACAGAUGGCGCAACCUUUUGGGAGGCUCGUUUUUGUUCCCCGCGCCUCCUCCUACAUAGGUGGAUGGCAUUACAUUUCCUUACAAAAACAUCAUAAAAGUUAUUAAUGAUAUCAAAUUCUCUGGAGCACCCUGUUCACUGACAGUGGUACUCAGGAGGAGGAAGAGGAGGAGGAGGAGGAGCACGCCAAACCUACCUUCAACAAGCAUGGAAUCCUCAGCUCUGCAAAGAGAUAGAGAAAAUGUCAGUGGCCUCAGUAUGACGAAGAUAUUGGAAUCUCUACAAGAGAAAAGGCAAGAGAAAACAGUACAUGACAUCUCGAAUUUAUAUUUCUGAAGGUGUGGUUUUAUGCUGUGUGGUUUUAUGCUGCUUUGACUAUUUGCCAUUUUGCUGUUGGUUAAGCAGAGGGAGAUUGUCAAAAGUUUAAAAUGUAGUGUUGUGUAAUUUUGGCUCGCGUGACCAUUCAGGAGAGAUGAAGAAGACUCAGAGACAACAAUGACUUACGUUGAGAUAGUUAGAGAUAGAGAUAGAACAUGACCAUGCAGGAGUAAAAUCACCUCACGUCUGACUGCACAGACUGUUGCCAUGAUAAUCCUAAUGAGUGUUCCCAAAUGCCCAAAUUAUAUCUUACAACUUACAGAAGCAGUGCUUCCAUACAUGCUCAUCUCAACAACGCAGAGUCUGUCUCCUCCAGCCAGAGGACUAAGAUGUAAAAUAGGUCAGAGACACUUCAGUUGUCUUCAAGGUCAAAAAUUACCCAAAAAUGUGUUUAACAGCAGAUAAAAUGCCACCAUUAGAAAAUUCAUUUUUCCAAGGAAGAUGUACACCACUUUGUUGUGUGUUAGUGGCUGAGUGUAUGUGUGUGUGGGUGUGUGUGUGUGUGUGUGUGUGUGUGUGUGUGUGUGUGUGUGUGUGUGUGUGUGUAAUAAAUAUACACAAAAAGGACACACCUAAUGCAGCACAGCUUGAUGCAGUACACAGGGACAAUGUAUUUGCAUUGUCCAUGGACGGCAUCUGACUUGAGAGAUGUUAUGGAGGGAAUUCUGAAUCCCAUCUGUUUGGAGCCGAGAUAUUGGAAUUGAUCCAACAACAUUGUUCUACUACAGCAGAAAUCAAGAGACUUAUGGUCACAAAGAUUCAGUUGAAAUGGGCUGCUGUACAGGGAGACUGGCCUGAAGAAGAUAUGCCAUACAACUGGGCAUAUCUGGAUAUCUGGACUGGACUGGACUGAACACAGAGAGGCAGUAACAGACUUGAUCGAAAGAAUUCUACAAAAAGAAAUCUUGAGAAUUCACAGUGGUUUAACACCACCAGUUGAUCCAACUGAAUGACAUCCCCAUGAACAGCCCCAUGGCACAUGCUCGACAUGCAGAGAAAGUGGUGGCAAGAAAUGAGAGAGAAGAGGGGGCCGUGGAAGGAGGGGCUGCUGACUAGAGGGAGAAACAACUGGGCGUGAAGAAGGGUGAGCAGAAACACACAGAUGCACACACACAAAAGGAUGAGAUACAUACACAUGUAUAUGAUGAUGAUAAUAGCCUAUGAUUAGAAUGUUGAUUGGAGGAAAAGAGAUUUUAGUUUUUUUUAGUGGAUUUUGGAGCAACACAUUCAGUGUUGACAGCAAGUGAUUUGGAUACUCCUAAAUUGAGUGGCAGAACAGUGAGUGAGUGAGUAAGAGAAAAAAUCCAAUUGUGGAUUCGGGCUGUAUGAAGACUUUAAUUCACCUAAGGAUGGUUCGACUGAGGGCUUUAGUGGCUCUUGUCUGGUGCACCCCAUGAUUUUCGGCACGUAUUGGCCUGGGUUUAAUAGGUUAGGAUAUGUGUGAUGUGCGAUGUGAUGUGUGGUAAUGCGAGGUUGUCUGACAAUGCAGACGGGGAGGAGGACGCGGCAGGACUCAGGGAUGUUUUGUCUUAGCAGGUGCUGGGAGCUGAAAGCCCGAUACUUUACAUCAGCUGGAAGCUGUCUGAGAGGGAGACACGCUGCAGCACUAUUUAGAAGGAGUGCUUGGCUCUCCGAUGGGCAGUUGGUGCUCUGUGGUAUUACCUGCUGGUGCAACUGGUUGUCCUCUUUUCAGACCACACUCCCCUCCAGUGGCUUCACCACAUAAAGGUUACCAAUGGCCAUAUCAUCUGGUGGUAUUUGGCUUUGCAACCCUUUAAGGGCAAGAGAGGCUUCUCUCGUUCUGACUGAAAUGAAUAAAAGAACAACUGAAAGCAUGUUUGCAAUACUGUCUAGGUAAAGUUCAGACAUUCUGAGUAAAAAAACAUUUUGGAGCGAAAUGUGACUUAAUCUAUUAUAAAGGGCAAAAAUAGGCUUAACUUGCCCAGAAAAGCUCAAAAUUUCAAGAAAAGAGUUCUGACUGACAUGAAUGAUAGAACUGAAACCAUGUUUGCAAAACCAUAUUUAGGUAACGUUUAUACAUCCUGAAGGAAACUCUCUCAAACACCACACUCUGCCCUGUCACAUCACACCACCUUUUAAUAGCUACAUAGGUAAUUUUUAAUGCAGCUUUCUUUCAAUUUCAGAAACCUUUCCCAGUCAGUAAGUUGUGGACAGUGGAAAGAGACCACUGGUAUGGAAAUAGAAGUAAUGGUAUACACUAUUUGUAAUUUAUAUUUAAAGUAUAAAAAGUAUUCAAAGUACUAUAAAGUCAUCCACUGACCUUUUUCUUACAUCCUAGGGGUUUCCAAGACAGCUGUACGGAAAUGACUGUGACAUCUUCAUGAUGGAUUUUAAUUUAGGUUUAUUUUGGCAAUGUUUACUGAACAUAUUCUUCAUCUGUGUUAUCAGUAUCUAGAACUCUCAGGUGGAUUAGUUCCUUGGUGGCUUGCAUGUGAUUAUUAAACACUGAUUGAUUGUUUUCUUUUGCAGUCAGUUUAGGAAGAGCAGCAACUACAGCCUGUUGCACAGCCUCAGCAAGCCAGUGUGUCCCUGCAAAAGAGGCUAAGACAACAAUGGAAACGGACAAACUUGAGAUCAAGAUUGUGCAUGACUGCGAAAGGGCAGCAGAAUGGGUGGAAACAAACCAGCAUUUGUUCUCAGAUAAUUUGGAGUUGCCCUAUGGGGGCGGAGGAACUGGCAGAGGCUGCACAGCAAUAUGCCAGACUUUGGGUUGAGGAGGAGAGUGUGGACAUGGAUGACCAGAAAAGGGAAGGCAUGUUGGAGCCAUUCAAACUUCUGUUCAAAACUGAAGACAUGUGGACAUUUUGUGAGGAGAUGAGUGAUAAACAAGGUAGUAGCCUAUUCGGCACUACUGUUGUUAAUGUGCUGAAUAAAGGGCAACUGAUUGUU